CUUUCCUUUCCCGUGUCAAUCAAGGAUUCUUCACCAUCUAUGGCACCCGCUCCCUGGUACCCCAUCAAUUUAUGGUACUCGCUCACUCGAUUUUGCAAGAUUCAAAAUGAAUCGGCUCUAAAUUCCAGAUCAAUACAUUUGGGGAAAAUCUUUACGCUCCUUGACCGUCUGAUUCGUUGGUACAUGCAGUGAUUUUGGUGUGUUACUUUUUGCCGUAAUCCGGGAACUUGUUUGUAAACCUUUAGUCACUCGUUUGGUGCAAAAAGUGAUUCAUUACGGCUUGGCUAUCAUGUUAAAAAUUAGUAACAAUAUACAUGGCUUAACUUAUCACUUGUGUUGUCUGUAUACACUACUAACAAAUCUGGUUUUAGUGACGGACAAGAUAUGUAGCUAAUUACCUUUAAUUGGGCCUCUUCUCGCUAUUGCUGGGUUAUGGGUGCAACUUAUUGGCCCCUCCAUUUCUUUGGAAAAUUUGAAGGCCCAAAUUCACUUGGGUUUACACUGUAUUUAGUUGUUAUGUCACUAGGCAUGUGGCCAGUGUAUUCUUUAUCUCUUUCUGAUUGGGCAUGUAAUAAUAACUCUUGCAAAAUUGUCACAACCCAAUUUUUACUAUAAGCCGUGAUGGCGCCCAACGUCGCCGCUAGGCAAGCCAA